UGGGGAAUUUUGGACAAUGGGCGCAAGCCUGAUCCAGCCAUGCCGCGUGCGGGAAGAAGGCCUUCGGGUUGUAAACCGCUUUUGUCAGGGAAGAAAAGGUUCUGGUUAAUACCUGGGACUCAUGACGGUACCUGAAGAAUAAGCACCGGCUAACUACGUGCCAGCAGCCGCGGUAAUACGCAGGGUGCAAGCGUUAAUCGGAAUUACUGGGCGUAAAGCGUGCGCAGGCGGUUAUGCAAGACAGAGGUGAAAUCCCCGGGCUCAACCUGGGAACUGCCUUUGUGACUGCAUAGCUAGAGUACGGUAGAGGGGGAUGGAAUUCAGCGUGUAGCAGUGAAAUGCGUAGAUAUGCGGAGGAACACCGAUGGCGAAGGCAAUCCCCUGGACCUGUACUGACGCUCAUGCACGAAAGCGUGGGGAGCAAACAGG
rnacentral:rRNA from 1 species